UACGAAGGGGGCUAGCGUUGCUCGGAAUUACUGGGCGUAAAGCGUGCGCAGGCGGGCUUUUAAGCCAGACGUGAAAUCCCCGGGCUUAACCUGGGAAUGGCGUUUGGGACUGGGAGUCUGGAGUGCGGCAGAGGAGACUGGAAUUCCUGGUGUAGCAGUGAAAUGCGUAGAUAUCAGGAGGAACACCGAUGGCGAAGGCAGGUCUCUGGGCUGACACUGACGCUCAUGCACGAAAGCGUGGGGAGCAAACAGG
rnacentral:rRNA from 1 species